GAACAACCUCUUGCAAAAUGUAGCUUAACCAUGAUUCAUGGCCAAAAGCUGGAAUAACCCCUGCCAGGCUUAGAAUCUUUAAGAUUAAUUGCAAUGAACUUGAUGCAUAAUAGUAUAACACCUUGAAAAUGAAUCAUUUGCUAAUUCCAUAUUUUUUAAUUACAAUCACUUCAUCUCAGGGCAUGAAAUUUAUUGAGGUUUUUUUUUUUUAAAGAAA
rfam:Sorex araneus cont1.573414, whole genome shotgun sequence.